rnacentral:rRNA from 1 species
ACUUUAUGGUUGGAGUUAGGUUUUUAAACUCAUGGGUAAUUAAAGAUGGGGCAAGACUAUUGAGCUGGGGCGGCUGGAAUAUAAGUUGUAACUGUUCUUUUAAUUAAAUAAUGAUAUUUAGAUUAUGAUCCUGAAUUUUGGUUUAAAAGAGUAAGUU